GGCCCUUCCCGGCCUCCGUUUGAUGCAAUUUUUAUAUCACCGUGAUCACCAUUCUUUUCUCUACAGGUUGACCGGAGCCGAAUCACUAAAACACGAACCUCGCCGGAGAGCCGCCGCACCCGAGAGCGUCGCCGCCGGUAAGCUCCGUUUUUCUGUGAUUUUUUGGCCCCCCGAGGGCCCUAGGGUUGUUUUCUCGCAGGGACCGAUGCGAGUGUGACCGAAUUCGGCCAGAAACGGCCGAAAACAGCCAACCCGAGGCGAAUCGCCGCCGCCGGAGCACGGCGGAGCCGCCGUGCCGGAGUUGCGAUAUUGGCCGAAAGGGGCCCUGGACCUAAUUUGGGAUUUUUUUGGAACAUGUGCAGGUACCAGUAGUGCGUUUCAGUUCCCUGAGAAAAAUUCAGGAAAAAUUAGGGACAGUCUGUAGGCGCACUGUGAAGCCGUGUUCGGACUCCGAAACGUGUAAGGACCCCUCACCUUAUUUCCUAUCACGGUUUUAAAGUUCAGUAAAUGAUAAAACGGUAUUUCAUGAAUCAACGAAUGUGUGAAAUUGCUUAAGGUCGCUAAUGGAGCCCAAGUCUAGUGUAUUUGUCGGUUAACUGUUAUUUGGCCUGUUUUACAGUUUUAAAUGCAGCAUGAGGUUCGAUGUUUUCAUUUUAUAGUUUCGUGUGCAUAUUUUACUGUUUUAUUGAUUAUGGAUUAAAUGACCGGGAUAUUGAUGUUGUAUGUUGUCUGUUUAGCAUAAAUACUGUUUGCUUGCUUGUAUGUGGAUUAAUGAUGCUGACUGAGGAAAAAGAGAAUGAAAAAUUAUGUA
rnacentral:lncRNA from 1 species